rnacentral:rRNA from 1 species
UACGUAGGUGGCGAGCGUUGUCCGGAAUUACUGGGUGUAAAGCGCGUGUAGGCGGCAGGCCAAGUCGGUGGUGAAAGCGCCCGGCUCAACUGGGCGAGGUCCAUGGAAACUGGUCAGCUGGAGGACGGUAGAGGCGAGUGGAAUUCCCGGUGUAGUGGUGAAAUGCGUAGAGAUCGGGAGGAACACCUGUGGCGAAGGCGGCUCGCUGGGCCGGUCCUGACGCUGAAACGCGAAGGCGUGGGGAGCGAACGGGAUUAGAUACCCCGGUAGUCCACGCAGUAAACGAUGCACACUAGGUGUCGGGGGUAUCGAGCCCCUCGGUGCCGUAGCUAACGCAGUAAGUGUGCCACCUGGGGAGUACGGCCGCAAGGUUAAA